rnacentral:rRNA from 1 species
UAGGGAAUCUUCCACAAUGGACGCAAGUCUGAUGGAGCAACGCCCCGUGAGUGAAGAAGGUUUUCGGAUCGUAAAGCUCUGUUGUUGGUGAAGAAGGAUAGAGGCAGUAACUGGUCUUUAUUUGACGGUAAUCAACCAGAAAGUCACGGCUAACUACGUGCCAG